rnacentral:misc_RNA from 1 species
GAUGAAGAACGCAGCGAAAUGCGAUAAGUAGUGUGAAUUGCAGAAUUCAGUGAAUCAUCGAAUCUUUGAACGCACAUUGCGCCCCUUGGUAUCCCGAGGGGCAUGCCUGUUCGAGCGUCAUUUCACCACUCAAGCCUGGCUUGGUGUUGGGCGACGUCCCCUUUGGGGACGCGCCUCGAAACGCUCGGCGGCGUGGCACCGGCUUUAAGCGUAGCAGAAUCUUUCGCUUUGGAAGUCGGGGCCCCGUCUGCCGGAAGACCUACUCGCAGGGUUGACCUCGGAUCAGGCAGGGAUACCCGCUGAACUUAAGCAUAUCAAUAAGCGGAGGA